ACCAUGAGAUCUCUACACCGUCAUCACCAAGCUUCACAAGCCUCUGAGGAGUCCAUUUUCUCUUAUCAGGAUCCGUAAUCGAAUCGGCAUGGGUUCUUGGUAACGUCGCUAAUCUUUUUAGUUGUUGGUAUAAUCGCGUGCCUUUUCACCAGAAUUUGCUGCAACAGAGGGCCUUCAACUAAAAUCUUUAAC